CCAGCAGCUGCGGUAAUUCCAGCUCCCAUAGCGUAUAUUGAAGUUGUUGCAGUUAAAAAGCUCGUAGUUGAAUUUCUGCUGAGGAUGACCUACCCACCUUAGGGUGCGUGUCAGCGUCGACCUAGGCAUCCUCCCAGAAGCGAAGCCCAUCUUAUCGUGGACUUCGACCUGGGACUUUUACUUUGAGGAAAUUAGAGUGUUUCAAGCAGGCUUACGCCUUGAAUAAUUAAGCAUGGAAUAAUAUUUUAGGACUUCGGUUCUACUUUGUUGGUUUCUAGAACUGAAGUAAUGAUUAACAGGGACAGUCGGGGUCAUUCGUACUCAACAGUCAGAGGUGAAAUUCUUGGAUUUGUUAAAGACGGACUACUGCGAAAGCAUUUGCCAAGGAUGUUUUCAUUGAUCAAGAACGAAAGU
rnacentral:rRNA from 1 species